GUGGGGAAUCUUAGACAAUGGGGGAAACCCUGAUCUAGCCAUGCCGCGUGAGCGAUGAAGGCCUUAGGGUUGUAAAGCUCUUUCAGCUGGGAAGAUAAUGACGGUACCAGCAGAAGGAGCCCCGGCUAACUCCGUGCCAGCAGCCGCGGUAAUACGGAGGGGGCUAGCGUUGUUCGGAAUUACUGGGCGUAAAGCGCGCGUAGGCGGACCAGAAAGUUGGAGGUGAAAUCCCAGGGCUCAACCUUGGAACUGCCUUCAAAACUCCUGGUCUGGAGUUCGAGAGAGGUGAGUGGAAUUCCGAGUGUAGAGGUGAAAGUCGUAGAUAUUCGGAGGAACACCAGUGGCGAAGGCGGCUCACUGGCUCGAUACUGACGCUGAGGUGCGAAAGCGUGGGGAGCAAACAGGAUUAGAAACCCGAGUAGUCC
rnacentral:rRNA from 1 species